GGUGGCGUAGCCAAGUGGUAAGGCAGAGGUCUGCAAAACCUCUAUUCGCCAGUUCGAAUCUGGCCGCCACCU
rnacentral:tRNA from 1 species